rnacentral:rRNA from 1 species
GACGAACGCUGGCGGCGUGCUUAACACAUGCAAGUCGAACGGAAAGGCCCUGCUUUUGUGGGGUGCUCGAGUGGCGAACGGGUGAGUAACACGUGAGUAACCUGCCCUUGACUUUGGGAUAACUUCAGGAAACUGGGGCUCAUACCGGAUAGGAGCUCCUGCUGCAUGGUGGGGGUUGGAAAGUUUCGGCGGUUGGGGAUGGACUCGCGGCUUAUCAGCUUGUUGGUGGGGUAGUGGCUUACCAAGGCUUUGACGGGUAGCCGGCCUGAGAGGGUGACCGGCCACAUUGGGACUGAGAGACGGCCCAGACUCCUACGGGAGGCAGCAGUGGGGAAUAUUACACAGUGGGCGGAAGCCUGAUGCAGCAACGCCGCGUGCGGGAUGACGGCCUUCGGGUUGUAAACCGCUUUCGCCUGUGACGAAGCGGGAGUGACGGUAAUGGGUAAAGAAGCACCGGCUAACUACGUG